CUUUCUACAGGCUUAACACAUGCAAGUCGAGGGGCAGCAUGGUCUUAGCUUGCUAAGGCCGAUGGCGACCGGCGCACGGGUGAGUAACACGUAUCCAACCUGCCGUCUACUCUUGGACAGCCUUCUGAAAGGAAGAUUAAUACAAGAUGGCAUCAUGAGUCCGCAUGUUCACAUGAUUAAAGGUAUUCCGGUAGACGAUGGGGAUGCGUUCCAUUAGAUAGUAGGCGGGGUAACGGCCCACCUAGUCUUCGAUGGAUAGGGGUUCUGAGAGGAAGGUCCCCCACAUUGGAACUGAGACACGGUCCAAACUCCUACGGGAGGCAGCAGUGAGGAAUAUUGGUCAAUGGGCGCAGGCCUGAACCAGCCAAGUAGCGUGAAGGAUGACUGCCCUAUGGGUUGUAAACUUCUUUUAUAAAGGAAUAAAGUCGGGUAUGGAUACCCGUUUGCAUGUACUUUAUGAAUAAGGAUCGGCUAACUCCGUGCCAGCAGCCGCGGUAAUACGGAGGAUCCGAGCGUUAUCCGGAUUUAUUGGGUUUAAAGGGAGCGUAGAUGGAUGUUUAAGUCAGUUGUGAAAGUUUGCGGCUCAACCGUAAAAUUGCGGUUGAUACUGGAUAUCUUGAGUGCAGUUGAGGCAGGCGGAAUUCGUGGUGUAGCGGUGAAAUGCUUAGAUAUCACGAAGAACUCCGAUUGCGAAGGCAGCCUGCUAAGCUGCAACUGACAUUGAGGCUCGAAAGUGUGGGUAUCAAACAGGAUUAGAUACCCUGGUAGUCCACACGGUAAACGAUGAAUACUCGCUGUUUGCGAUAUACUGCAAGCGGCCAAGCGAAAGCGUUAAGUAUUCCACCUGGGGAGUACGCCGGCAACGGUGAAACUCAAAGGAAUUGACGGGGGCCCGCACAAGCGGAGGAACAUGUGGUUUAAUUCGAUGAUACGCGAGGAACCUUACCCGGGCUUAAAUUGCAGAUGAAUUACGGUGAAAGCCGUAAGCCGCAAGGCAUCUGUGAAGGUGCUGCAUGGUUGUCGUCAGCUCGUGCCGUGAGGUGUCGGCUUAAGUGCCAUAACGAGCGCAACCCUUGUUGUCAGUUACUAACAGGUUCCGCUGAGGACUCUGACAAGACUGCCAUCGUAAGAUGUGAGGAAGGUGGGGAUGACGUCAAAUCAGCACGGCCCUUACGUCCGGGGCUACACACGUGUUACAAUGGGGGGUACAGAGGGCCGCUACCACGCGAGUGGAUGCCAAUCCCAAAAACCUCUCUCAGUUCGGACUGGAGUCUGCAACCCGACUCCACGAAGCUGGAUUCGCUAGUAAUCGCGCAUCAGCCACGGCGCGGUGAAUACGUUCCCGGGCCUUGUACACACCGCCCGUCAAGCCAUGGGAGCCGGGGGUACCUGAAGUGCGUAACCGCGAGGAGCGCCCUAGGGUAAAACUGGUGACUGGGGCUAAG
rnacentral:rRNA from 1 species